rnacentral:rRNA from 1 species
AGCUGCAGUCGAGAUCAUUCGCAAUGGGCGAAGCCUGACGAUGCGACGCCGUGUGUGUGAUGAAGGCCUUCGGGUCGUAAAGCACUUUCGCUUGGGAACAAGAAAGGCUGGAUAAUACCCAGCCAAUUUGAGGGUACCAGGUAAAGAAGCACCGGCUAACUCC